rnacentral:ncRNA from 1 species
CACGGCCGGCUUCUUAGAGGGACUAUGGCCGUUUAGGCCAAGGAAGUUUGAGGCAAUAACAGGUCUGUGAUGCCCUUAGAUGUUCAACGAGUUCACACUUUGGCCGACAGGCCCGAGUAAUCUUUGAAAUUUCAUCGUGAUGGGGAUAGAUCAUUGCAAUUGUUGGUCUUCAACGAGGAAUUCCUAGUAAGCGCGAGUCAUCAGCUCGCGUUGACUAUGUCCAUGCCCUUUGUACACACCGCCCGUCGCUCCUACCAAUUGAAUGAUCCGGUGAACUGUUCGGAUCCCGGUGACGUGGGUGGUUUGCCGUCUGCAAUGUCGCGAGAAGUCCACUAAACCUUAUCAUUUAGAGGAAGGAGAAGUCGUAACAAGGUUUCCGUAGGUUAACCUGCAGAAGGAUCAUUG